CCCUUUCUUUUCUCCUCUGCUUCCAAGAGGUCAUAACUUUUCAAAGACCCAUCCACCUUCUUCUUGUUCACCAUUACCUUUAAAACACCAUUUUUCCCCUGAACCCUAAUGGGUUCAUCUGAAUCAUAUUUAUCGCUAUAAAAUGACAUAGGUGGAUGAGCCCCAUCUCUGUCACCAUGAUUCGCCCGAUGUAGCCCACUUGUUCUCUCAAAAUAUGAACUCUUUCUUCUAUCAACACCAGGAUGUCUACUGGAUCCUGUCUCGUAUUCCCUUUCAAUGCCACUUCUCCCCGCCAUCACUGACCCAAAAAAACCUCCUUCCUUCCAUCCCACCUUCAUCAACGCGAUUCCUCCUCAUCAUUUCUCCGUCAUUCACAUCAUAUUCGUCAAAUUCAAACACAUCUAACCUAUUCCUCUUCCUUUCACUGAAAUCCCCAUUCCUACCGAUCACGUCACCAUCAUUACUCCUAACAUUUUCUCCCCUACUCCUCUUCCUGCUAAUAUCAUUCUCUUCUACAAUACCCUCAUCAUAAAGACUCAAACCAUUACAAACCCGUAAAGUUUCAGCGCCUACCCUUCUUCGAGAUGGCAUUAACAGCUCAUCACUAGACCCUGAAUCGCUCAUAUCCAUCCUAGCCCUCUUCUUGUCCUUCUUGGACCCAAACACCUUACGUGAACCAGAAGAACCCACUCCUCCCACACCAUCAUUACCCUUUUUUCUCACAAUCAAACAGCCCGAAGAGCUCCUAUUCUUCACCAUAAUCCCUGACAGGUCACCAGAUCUUCUUCCCUCUUCCAUAAA
rnacentral:misc_RNA from 1 species